GCAGCAUGGUCUUAGCUUGCUAAGGCCGAUGGCGACCGGCGCACGGGUGAGUAACACGUAUCCAACCUGCCGUCUACUCUUGGACAGCCUUCUGAAAGGAAGAUUAAUACAAGAUGGCAUCAUGAGUCCGCAUGUUCACAUGAUUAAAGGUAUUCCGGUAGACGAUGGGGAUGCGUUCCAUUAGAUAGUAGGCGGGGUAACGGCCCACCUAGUCUUCGAUGGAUAGGGGUUCUGAGAGGAAGGUCCCCCACAUUGGAACUGAGACACGGUCCAAACUCCUACGGGAGGCAGCAGUGAGGAAUAUUGGUCAAUGGGCGCAGGCCUGAACCAGCCAAGUAGCGUGAAGGAUGACUGCCCUAUGGGUUGUAAACUUCUUUUAUAAAGGAAUAAAGUCGGGUAUGGAUACCCGUUUGCAUGUACUUUAUGAAUAAGGAUCGGCUAACUCCGUGCCAGCAGCCGCGGUAAUACGGAGGAUCCGAGCGUUAUCCGGAUUUAUUGGGUUUAAAGGGAGCGUAGAUGGAUGUUUAAGUCAGUUGUGAAAGUUUGCGGCUCAACCGUAAAAUUGCAGUUGAUACUGGAUAUCUUGAGUGCAGUUGAGGCAGGCGGAAUUCGUGGUGUAGCGGUGAAAUGCUUAGAUAUCACGAAGAACUCCG
rnacentral:rRNA from 1 species